UUCUGAAGAAAUUGACUUUACCUACAUUUGAGUAACUGACUUCACCCAUAUUUGGGUGAAAAAAUAAACACAAACAAUAAUUCCGAAGUGAUGGCCACGCGCGUCAAAGUUGCAGAAAUUCUUAAAUUUCCCUAUUUUUAUCAAUAAUGUAAAGUCUAAAGCAGCUGAUGUAGUUCCGAGUGCAGUUCUUCAUACAUGAAGAUAUAUGGAGAUUGCAACUUCCAGACGAACUGUUCCAGUCACGAUUCGCAGCACCAUGUCGACCUUCUUGCAGGUGACGAUCGACGAUGAUACGGCAGAUAGUGAGAAUGGGCACAAGUUCCAGGGGGAAAACUUCUGCUCAUACGAGUCUCACCCCAAACUACUUGCUUCGGAAUCGGAAUCCUUCAACAACCCAGACGACACCCAAGAUGAACGCGUUUCAAAAAAGCUCCAAGCGAACGCAAAAACCGGAUGUUGCCUCGCCUUGUUGUUUUCGAAGUGACCGCGAUGGCGAAAAAACAGCAACAGAUCGAACUAAGUGGCAAAGGAGAAGGAAAAAUCGGAACGACGGAGCCGACGGAGCAACCUGAGCGCGAAAGGGGAUGUUGUUGCUUUUUGUUAAUUCAGCUAAGCUUGAACAGGGAAAAUUAAGUCUCCCAGCCGCCAGACUAUUUUGAUUCUAUUUUUCCGGCAAAUCCCCGUCAUCGUCAUCUUCAUCAUGGACGUUGUCAUCGGUAUGAUUGGCCUGAAGCUAUGAACACAAAGACCGGACCCAACAAUAGAUCAUCUCAUUGCGAAAGCGGUCUUCUCCGUAUUGAGUGGGAGGAAAACAAUAAUCCGAAUGGCCUCGUGGCCUCGUCGUCGGUUGGCUCGGCUCUUCAAGUUUGCCCGAAAGUGUUCACCUUUUUGCAGGAUAAAAGAACUAAUUUGUUUUGCUGUCAACUGGUGCGGCUGUUGAAUUAACACCCGGACUGCAGAUUAUUUGAUCUUUUUGCGGUUUGUCGCAACCAACAACAUAUUUGUCCGGAACAAGCUGUCACCGGUUCCGGAAUGGCAUGCCGUAAAAUGUUAUUAUCAGUUAUUAGUGCAUUUGUUGCCCGCUAAUUAGUGUACCAAUGCUUGCUGAGAUUAACGUGCAUUUCACCAUACUGACACAAAGCGGCUGCUGAGGGAUGUUCCGGGCCGUCCAAGAUAACUGCCAUCUGUUCCUGCUGUUGAUAAUGCAGUAAUAGAGCAACAUGAUUAUUUUAUUUAUGUAAAAUGUUUUAUCAAAAUGUUUGAACCAAUAAAAUAUUUUACUUUAUAUUUAUACUGAAAAUAAAAA